UUCUUUGUAAACCCUAAUAGACAACUUCAUCGUCGCUUUCAUUCUUCUGGAUCCAUCCCUGUGUUUUCUUCACUCACUUUAACCCUAAUAGACAACUUCAUCACCGUUAUGAGAUUAUUUAGAUGAUGUUCUUCCUUCAGCGAUUCGUCAAUGUUCAUCACAUGAGAAGGUUGUGAAGUGUAAUAUUAACUGGAACAUGGUGGAUUAACUUGCUUUUUAUGGGCUUCCAGCAGCCGAAGGAAUUUGGUUGUAGGUGCACAGGCGCACAGGCUAUUUUUUGGACAUCGAUUUGUUUUUUUCGUCAAUUGCAACGAGAUGUAACCAGCGGCAGCUUACAAGUAGGGUACCUUAGUGCCAUCUUUGCUCAAUCUCUGCAACUAUUUCGUCCAUCAAUCUUCGUUAUUCACGGCUUUAUCAUGUUGUUGCUAUUCGAAGCCCUAAUUAGAACAGCACAAAAUGUUUGUUCUACAGUUCCUACAGUUUCAGUUGAAGUCUGCACCGAUUUCUUAUCUUGACUUUGCUGUUGAAAUCAAUUGACUUGUUGCAGCAGCAUUGAUGUUUCAACAGAAUGUAUAAGCUCUUAUUUUUGGGCCUUUGAAGGUACUUUAUUAGGUUUAUGAAUAAUUGGGGUUUUUAAAUUUUUUUUUUAUUAUGGCAUGCUUUAAUUGUAGAAUUGAUGUUGUUGAUUGAUUUCCAAGAUCAUAAUUUUGGUUAUGAAGUGAGAAGUGUGUAGUUAAGGUAGAAGAAGGUGAAACUAAUACCUAAUUUUGGGGGUUUAUGCGAGGAUGAAGGAUUGGAGUGCGGCAAAGCUGAUUGUCGGUGCGCUUUUGCAGCAGUUUCUUCUGUUUGCGAGGUGGCAGAUUGAGACGGCACAAGCACAGAAAGUAUUUGUAGAAUGUUGGAUCAAGCCUCGAAAGUCGAGCUCUUUUUAUAGAAGCAGGCCUUAAAUUUCUUCGUGUAGCCUCUUUAUUUGAAUCCUGCCAUAGCCAAACAGGGAGAUACGGUGAUAUGAUUGUCCAAACUAGGUGUGCAGGGGUUAUUAAAGUGGGUGGUGAAGUGGGUUGCAUGCUUAGUGAAGGCCCAUGGAUGUUUGUGGGUCUGUCAAACCUUGUCAAUGCGUGGAUUGUGCAAACUUCUGUCUAGUUGAGUCUUAAUGGACCUGUUGGGCAAGUCUAUUCACUGGUUGUAGGAAACGAUUACUAUUUGCUGGUACACAGCUGUUAGUAGCAUAUUCCAUGUUUACAUGGGGAAGACUAGCCUUACACAUUUACGGUCCUUAUAUUUGAGCUGACAAAUAUCAACUUGAGGUGGUAUGUUUCCUAAUAAUUUAUCUAUUUAGUUUGAUAAAUCCUUAAUAUUAUAAUUUUUUUUUGUUUGAGUGUAAAUUUUAAAAGUUGAUGUAUUGAUGGCCUUCUGUAUGAAAUGGCAAGGUGAGUUCUAAUCCUAUUUUAGAUUUGUAUGAUCUUACUUAUUAUGGUGCAAUCCUGUGUGAGUAUUUAUUUAAUUUAUAAUUUAUUUUUAUCUUUUUCUUUUUAUUCCAGGUUAACGGAGGAUUGAUAUUUAUAGCAUUUCUUAUAUCAACUAAAUCCCAUUUCUCAUAAUCUUUAUAGCUGGUAAGGUGUAUAUCAUGUGACGUUGUUCACUUCAAAUUGUUGUAUCAGAUCAUGGAUGAAACUCCUCAGCUUGCAAAAGGAGCUGCGAAAGCUAUGUAUGAGUUAUAUGAUGUAGUAACUCACAAUCUCCUGUCAUCUGAGCUAGGAGUGCGAAUGCAUUAUGGACAUCACGAUGUCUUUGACCGAAUAUUUCAUAUUUCUCGAGGUGGAAUAAGUAAGGCAUCACGUGUUAUUAAUAUUAGCGAAGAUAUAUAUGCAGGGUUCAAUUCCAUUGAGACAGGGUAACAUCACACACCAUGAAUACAUUCAGGUGGGGAAAGGAAGAAAUGUGGGUUUAAAUCAAAUUGCCCUGUUUGUUUGAAGGUAAAGUUGCUGGUGGGAAUUGGGGAGCAAGUUUUAAGCAGAGAUAUGUAUAGAGUUGGUCAACUCUUUGACUUUUUUAGAAUGCUCACUUUCUACUUUACCACAGUUGGUUACUAUGUAUGCACAAUGGCAUUCUCAGGACUUAUCAAGGAAUUACCCGUAGAUCCAUGUUGCUCGGUAAUACUGCAUUUAAUGCAUUUUUAAAUGCUCAAUUCCUAGCCAUUUUUUGGAUACCCAUUUGGGAAUUUUUAUUAAAUCUUAUGUCGGUUAGGUAGUUUCUUGAUCAUGUUGCAUGUGUUUAAGUUGCAUUACUGAUAAAUCUUGACAUUUUCUUGAAAUCCUAUUUGGGCGUGUUUGAUUAUCUAUUGAUUUAUGUGCUUGAGCUACAUUACUGAUAAAUCUUGAUGCUGCAAAUUGUUAUAUAUUUUUUUGUGAUUUGUUAA